rnacentral:rRNA from 1 species
UACGAAGGGGGCUAGCGUUGCUCGGAAUCACUGGGCGUAAAGCGCACGUAGGCGGAUUGUUAAGUCAGGGGUGAAAUCCUGGAGCUCAACUCCAGAACUGCCUUUGAUACUGGCGAUCUUGAGUCCGGGAGAGGUGAGUGGAACUGCGAGUGUAGAGGUGAAAUUCGUAGAUAUUCGCAAAGAACACCAGUGGCGAAGGCGGCUCACUGGCCCGGUACUGACGCUGAGGUGCGAAAGCGUGGGGAGCAACAGG